rnacentral:rRNA from 1 species
CCCGUGAUGCAGCCAUGCCGCGUGUGUGAAGAAGGACCUUCGGGUUGUUAAAGCACUUUCAGUAGGGAGGAAGGUAGUGUAGUUAACACCUGCAUUAUUUGACGUUACCUACAGAAGAAGCACCGGCUAACUCCGUGCCAGCAGCCGCGGUAAUACGGAGGGUGCGAGCGUUAAUCGGAAUUACUGGGCGUAAAGCGCAUGCAGGCGGCCUGUUAAGUCAGAUGUGAAAGACCCCGGGGCUUAACCUCGGAAUUGCAUUUGAAACUGGCAGGCUAGAGUCUUGUAGAGGGGGGUAGGAAUUUCAGGUGUAGCGGUGAAAUGCGUAGAGAUCUGAAGGAAUACCAGUGGCGAAGGCCGGCCCCCUGGACAAAGACUGACGCUCAGAUGCGAAAGCGUGGGGAGCAAACAGGAUUAGAUACCCCUGGUAG